CGCGGGGUGGAGCAGCGGCAGCUCGGCGGGCUCAUAACCCGCAGGUCGUGGGUUCGAAUCCCACCCCCGCAACCA
rnacentral:tRNA from 1 species